rnacentral:rRNA from 1 species
GAUGAACGCUGGCGGCGUGCCUAAUACAUGCAAGUCGAGCGGACGGACGAGAAGCUUGCUUCUCUGAUGUUAGCGGCGGGCGGGUGAGUAACACGUGGAUAACCUACCUAUAAGACUGGGAUAACUUCGGGAAACCGGAGCUAAUACCGGAUAAUAUUUUGAACCGCAUGGUUCAAAAGUGAAAGACGGUCUUGCUGUCACUUAUAGAUGGAUCCGCGCUGCAUUAGCUAGUUGGUAAGGUAACGGCCUACCAAGGCAACGAUGCGUAACUGGCCUGAGAGGAUGAUCAGUCACACUGGAACUGAGACACGGUCCAGACUCCUACGGGAGGCAGCAGUGGGGAAUAUUGGACAAUGGGCGAAAGCCUGAUCCAGCCAUGCCGCGUGUGUGAAGAAGGUCUUCGGAUUGUAAAGCACUGUAAGUUGGGAGGAAGGGCAGUAAGUUAAUACCUGGCUGUUUUGACGGUACCAACAGAAUAAGCACCGGCUAACUUCGUG